rnacentral:rRNA from 1 species
ACGCUCGACACCUACUGGAGGCAGCAGUGGGGAAUAUUGCACAAUGGGGGAAACCCGUGAUGCAGCGACGCCGCGUGAGUGAAGAAGUAUUUCGGUAUGUAAAGCUCUAUCAGCAGGGAAGAAAAUGACGGUACCUGACUAAGAAGCCCCGGCUAACUACGUGCCGGCAGCCGCGGUAAUCUGAGCGGGCGUGGCGAAGGACG